rnacentral:lncRNA from 1 species
GGUAAUUAUUUAGCUACACCUGAUUAGUUUGUCAUGUGUUUGUUCCACCUACAAUAGUGUACAAUUUGGUGCAUCCUGUCUGGGGAUUAUAUAUUAUUUUCCUCUAUCAUGCACAUCCACUCAUUAUUUUAUGAUCGGACAAGCAAUGAGGAAAACCAACCACGCGGCUCCAUUGGUAAAAUGUUGAUUGAGACGAUUAAUAAAAUUGCAACCUUGUCGACUAUUGGUGA